GAGACGUUAGUAAAACAAUUACAUAGCCUUGUCAAGACUAAAUUGCAGAUGAAACCACUGCACGUCUCU
rnacentral:tRNA from 1 species